UUUGGGCCAAGUAUUCGACCCAUCACCCGCCUUAAUGGACCCUUGGCCCCUCCUCUACACGUGGACCAGAUCUAGUGAAUGAUGAACAUCUCACGUUCCCCAGGAUCUUUUGUCCAGCAGGUGAUUGCGCUGCAGGCUGUAGCUUGAGCACCGCUGCUCUCUAGUCUGGAGCAUCUCCCUCGUUACUGGCUGGGACGCAAAACCACGUUGCUAUCUGAUCUCAUCACACUUCUGCCAGGAGGUGAAAUCUAGGAGCCCACCUUCUUGAUGCCCAACGUCUUCUUCAGGUCACUUACCUGAGAACACCUGAGGAUACUGAGACAUUGUCAGGUUUGAAGGAGACUCCAGGAACGGCUGCAGCCAUCUGCCAGCCUAACAAGGAAACCAACUCAAAGCAGAGAGCAGAGGCCAAGGAAUUUCAGGAAAGCAGAGCCAGGAUAUGUUGUGGAUGGACCCUAAUCUACCCCUGAACUUCUUAUUACGUGAGGUACCCAAGGAGAGCGUCCUUUGUGCCAGGUACUGUGCCAACCAUCCUUGAAGGUUAACUCCUGAUCAUCCCAUGUGCUAAUGACACCCAACUCUCUGAAGUCCAGACCCCUCUCCCUUCAGAUUCACACUUGGACAUUCACAAGGUCCUGAAAUGAACCUGGGCCUCUUAUAGAACAAGGGCGGAAACCUACCUCCAGUUCCAUUUUUACGUGAGCACCCGCCCUCGACAAUUUAUGGGAUUAUGCUGAAAAAUCAAUCUUUUACAAUUUCACCUAACAUCUGCCAGAGGAAACAAAAUAUUAUUAAAAGGGGACUUAUCAGAGUUCAUCUUCCAACAAAGUGGUUAGUUACCAUUUAAUUUAGCUAACAUUUUUUUGGGAACACUUACUGCAGUGCAGACACUGGUCUAAGUAAGCUUUUUAUAUGCAUCCUAUCAUUUAAUCUUCACAAAAUUCCUGUGAGGUAGGUACUGUUAUUAUCCCCAUCUUACACUUAAAAAUCUCGAGGCUUAGAUGGAUUAACUCCAGGGUCACACGGCUAGCAAGUGGCAGGGCUCUGGUUAAAACCCACGUCUGUCUAACGUUCAAGAUUUUGCUUUCGGCAUUCCUUUGAAAAAGAUGAUUUGAGGACAUUCUUAACUAGGUUUUAAGUACUACAUUCCUUAUCUUCACAAAAUUUUGUCAGGUAAGAAACAAAAAUACAAGUUUAGAGGUGCUACGAUUUCUCUGUAGUUGAAUAAUCUUUGGGGUAUUUCACUGACAAACUUGUUUUAAGUGGUGUCAAGCAAAUCCCUUCCUAAAGUGAAAGUAUGUUGGUGAUUUCAAGUUUGAAA